AGCGGCGGACGGGUGAGUAAUGCUUGGGAACAUGCCUUGAGGUGGGGGACAACAGUUGGAAACGACUGCUAAUACCGCAUAAUGUCUACGGACCAAAGGGGGCUUCGGCUCUCGCCUUUACAUUGGCCCAAGUGGGAUUAGCUAGUUGGUGAGGUAAUGGCUCACCAAGGCGACGAUCCCUAUCUGGUUUGAGAGGAUGAUCACCCACACUGGGACUGAUACACUGCCCACACUCCUACGGGAGGCAGCAUUGGGGAAUAUUGCACAAUGGGCGCAAGCCUGAUGCACCCAUGCCGCGUGUGUGAAGAAGGCCUUCGGGUUGUAAAGCACUUUCAGUCAUGAGGAAAGGUUAGUAGUUAAUACCUGCUAGCUGUGACGUUACUGACAGAAGAAGCACCGGCUAACUCCGUGCCAGCAUCCGCGGUAAUACGGAGGGUGCGAGCGUUAAUCGGAAUUACUGGGCGUAAAGCGUACGCACGCGGUUUGUUAAGCGAGAUGUGAAAUCCCCGGGCUCAACCUGGGAACUGCAUUUCCAACUGGCAAACUACAGUGUGAUAGAGGGUGGUAGAAUUUCAGGUGUACCGGUGAAAUGCGUAAAGAUCUGAAGGAAUACCGAUGGCGAAGGCAGCCACCUGGGUCAACACUGACG
rnacentral:rRNA from 1 species